AGUUGGCCAUUAACCCUAGGCACAUCUCCUGGAAGAGUUGUGACGAAGCCACCCUGCUUCUCAAUCCUUUUCCGUUCUGUGUACGGUUCAUGGUCCACAGUAAGCUGAUUGGCACAGCCUCUCUCGCAGACAACAGCUCUAGAAUCACCAAUAUUGGCGACCCAUAAGUCUUUGCCAUCAAUGACAAUAGCAGUAACAGCAGUAGAGCCACCAGGACCCAAUUGCAUUGAAUUCUCCAAUAUAAACUUAUCAGUGUUUCUAUAUGCAUUCUUAAUUGCGGUUUUAGGGUCAAUCCAGAAAUUGGACUCUUCAAGUAUGUUGAGGAAAAGUUUGUCUUUCAAAUAACUAGGAACUCGAUCCCCAAGAUGACCAUCAAAGAUAGCGAAUAAUCCAAGCUCGUGAUUCUUGAUUUUACGAUACUCAGCGACAUGAUAGUCUUCCAUAUCAUGGCCGGA
rnacentral:misc_RNA from 1 species